ensembl:lncRNA
UGGCUGACGUUGGUCAUUACUUGACAUCUUGUAGAUGGCUGCAACAGUUUGAAGGGAUAUUUAUGGUAACUGGCCCACUUUUUAUUUGUAACCUCCAUUGUGAUUGAUCGUCUCUCACAACAUGGCAUGAUGCUACUAAAUGUCACACCUUCAUAGCAGUUGCAGAUGUCAGAAAUUACGUAAUUAAACCAGAUGUCCAGCUGGCCUAAUUUAGCAUGACUUCAAAUACUUUUAAUAGAUGGCCGAAUUCAAUUUAACACUGACAGGACUACGUAGGUGUGGUCUGUAUGCUCUUUCAAUUUCACUAUAAAAUACACUCCUUUCCUGUUUUUGACAGUGUCAUCAGAAGCAUUACCAGCAAUGAUUCAUUAUACAUGUUUCCAUUCCACCACAACUUCUGGUAAAUAGCUAACACCACUGCAUUCUCAUCAGUAUUUAUUGGAGUGCAUGACCUAAAUACUUCUAAAUGGUGGACAAACGUUUCAAUUAAAGAUAACUGAGCCACAAGGUCAGUGACCUGUGGGCUCUUGGGUUCAUCCAAGUUUUUCCCUCAUGUUCUAACAUGCAUCAGUGGGGUGAUACGUUACACUCGCCAAUGACCAUUAAUUACAACACACCACGGUAUUGAAAUACUACAAACACACUCUUUGCAUAUUUUUAUAUAGUUAUAUAGUUUGACUCUAAGUAGACUUAGGUAAUUGAGUUAAAAGGAUACGGUUAGCAGCUUUGAGGUUUAAGCAAAUGGUGCUUUACCAAAAUGAUGGGACCAGUAUGUGAUUUGUAUACUCUUCACCACGCAAGAGACACCACAUUGCGUCCUCAGUAUCACAACUUGUGUGACCUGUAAAAUAGUGGGCAACAACUGCACCUUUGAGUUGUAAGGUUGUGGCCUGUCUGAUAACUGGACUAUCACAGAUUCGGACCGUUGGAAUGUGGACGCCCUCUGUCGGAUGUCACCUAGUGAAGUUGCUGUCGGCAUUAGACCCUCUCGCUUGAAUGGGUACUGUUGCCUCUAAGAAGAACCUCCGGUCUUGUUGUGGAUGUAACACUGUCCCAGAUGUGCAGGACUAAACGCAAUUGCUGAUUUUUUUCCCACAAAACGAAUGCAAAGUGAGACACGCAGCUAAAUUGUCACCACUGCCGGCUUCGUCUUGUAUCUGAUAAUAAAGGCCACAGAAGUUCUCAGCAUGGCAGAGCACCUAUCGCAGAGUGAACUGGACUACCCUUUCAAACUGCUGGAAUAUUUCAACGGCUUCAGAGUCUCUAAGGUUGUAUGCAGUGGACUGAAAAUCUCUUCGAAAAUAUUCCCAUCAGUGUUGUUCGCAGGUCCCUUCACUGGUUACAGUCACACUGGAAUUAAAACAUUUGCCAUUGUUGAUUGAUGUAUUCUUGUACUGGAAUGUACGAAAUGCAACUGCUGAAGGAAAAGAAGGAACAAGCAACUCAGUCUGUCUGCAGACUCCCAAAACAAGGCACAUGCCUUGCCCUCACGAGGGAUGAAUACAUUUUUGUCAAAAGCCCUAAACAAGCAUCUUGCCUUAAGGCAGUGGUUAUCAAAGUGUGGGGAGGGGGCAGAGUUACAUGAAGGGGGGUGCGGAUUGAGAGGGAAAAAAUUGAACGAGAACCCUAAACAACACACUAUUGGUCAAAUGAAAUAUGGCAGUGCUCAUACAGAAUACUAGCCUGCAACCUCUAACCUAUUUGGUGAUGAGGUAAUAGCCUACUUAGCCUACUGGAACGAUACAAACCCAAUCAUGAAACCAUAUUCGAUGCGGCCAGAAUUAAACAAGAGCUCUGCUUAA